UCUACCUUAGCAACCAGGCUGCCCCUAGUUGAUCUUGGUUGAUUUUGGAAGCUAAGCAGAACAGCCCUGGUUAGUACCUGGAUGGCAGACUUCUUGGGAGAUGGCAGACUGCUGUAGAC
rnacentral:rRNA from 1 species